rnacentral:tRNA from 1 species
UGCUUCUUAGUUCAGUGGUUAAGAACAGCUCUCUUACACAGAGAAGGUCAUAGGUUCGAGUCCUAUAGAAGCAA